rnacentral:rRNA from 1 species
UGCGUAGGUGGCGCGCUAAGUCAGGUGUGAAAUUUCGGAGCUUAACUCCGAAACUGCAUUUGAUACUGGCGUGCUUGAGGACUGGAGAGGAGACUGGAAUUCACGGUGUAGCAGCGAAAUGCGUAGAGAUCGUGAGGAAGACCAGUGGCGAAGGCGGGUCUCUGGACAGUUCCUGACACUGAGGCACGAAGGCCAGGGGAGCAAACG